rnacentral:misc_RNA from 1 species
AAUAUACUAUGAGAUCAACACCAUCUCAUUUUCCCUUACAUGACUUGUUCAAAGAUAUGAUUAUCCAAGAAAAUAUAAUUUUUGCCCAUUUCCUUCCUAUUAUAAGCAGCCACUCUAUCUUUCUUGUUAAUCAUCCUAUCUACAAGCUAGCUAGAAGCCUAGAACUUCAUUUUGAUCAACCAUAAGUAAAUACAUCUGCCCAUCAUCAUUUUAUGUUGCUGCCACUACUUAUUUUAGUUAUUUGCACUUGUAACAUAAAAAUAACACAAGUGCAUUCUAUGAAUGUCUUCUAGUAGUCAUUCAAGAACUUGUUCCAUCAUUACUUUUAGACCAUAUAUCAAGCAACUUCCGCCUUUGGCUAAUUGCCUCAUCAGUUGAACUCCCUCAACUCCAUGCUCCUAGACACUUCAUGAUCACAUAAACAAAAAUCUGUACCCCAAACAUUCAAUUUUUAAUCUCUGAAUUUUCUUCACAACCAGACUUAACUAUUUACAUGUCAAUUGCUACUUCCAUCAAAGACAAGCUAUAUUAACCAUCCCACCCUCCCAAGCUAUAUGCAAUAUAAAGUAAGCUUG